GCAAACAAGUGACACUACCAAUAAUUUAUCUAAAGCUGCUGAGCUGACACAGCUGGUCUGGAGACAUCUCAGAAUCAAACACUUCAUAUUAGGAAAGCUCAGCCACACUUUUUAAUGGCAGGGUCUUCUAACAUACUAUUUUGUGGAGUGAUGUGGAAAUUCCUGCUUUGAGCGAGGAUGCCCCUCAAGGUUACUCCUCAAGACUGAGUGAAAGAGACCCAGUGUCGUUGGUAUCUAACAAACUUCUUUAAUUCCAGGCUGGCUUUCUUACAGCAGCCAUUUUCCCUAAAGGAUGUUCUCUAUAACUGAACCUGGUGUGCUUAAAAUGUGCCUGCUGCCAACACUCCAGAAAAAGACAAAUCACUGGAGUACACUUCAGCUGAGUUGCCUCUCAUCUGUCCACGCUGUGUUCAGUGGUGUGUGUGUCUCCUGGUGCUCUUUAUGCUCACAUCUCCUUGCUUAAAAAGCCCUUCAGCCUCUGUACAUCCAGAAGACUUUCCUGGCAUCUUCUGUCCUGAAUUCUGUUCCAGACCAUUGUGCUUCCAGAGAUCCUGGAACUGAAUCCUCAGUCUUUUCAGCUGUGGGAGUCUGUAUCUCCUUCCUUUUGGUGCUGAGUUGUGUCACUUGUCCUCAUAAUUUCUUGAAGUUAUGCCAGGACACCAGUAGCAUAGUAGUAGCAGCAAGUAAUUUUUCCUCAUGAAAUGAUACAGAGAAAAAGAGAGGAGGGCAAAAAAAGACAGAAAAUGGAGAAAUGAUUGUUGAAAAUUCAGGCUUGGAACUGAGAUGAAAUGAAUAAUUAAGUUGAAUAUUUGAAAAUCUCCUUAAACUGUUCAUAACUGUGUCAAAUUGUUCAUGACCAAUUUGUAAAAAAGUUUAUGAUCUCACUGACCUUAUGCUACUGGUGAAAUUUGUUUUAAGCAUGAUUUAGGUCCCUGAAAAUACCCUACAAACAUCCCUGAACUAUCAGGAAACAAAACUGUCCCACAGUAUUUAAAUUUUUUAGCCUCUACAUAGCAAACCUUGAGUAAAUAGAAAUAAAUAAAAACAACAAAGUCAAAUCUCAUUAUUGCAGCAAGUAAAUUUCAUUACAUUUCUUCUGUACAAUAUAGUGAAACUUUAUCCUUUCAUCUUGCAGAAAUUAGUUGCUAGAACACACUCUUUGAUGAGAGCAGAGGAUCAUUUGGGAAAUAAAAAACUCUCUGCCUCUCAUAAAUUUUUCAAAUUGCUUUCAAAAAGAAAAAAAUAUCAAAUUAUUAAAACACAGACUUUUAAAACUAAUGGAAUAUGACUCAUAUUUGCAGGUUCCUUUUAAAAGCAAACAUUUAUUUUCUCAUUACAUGCGGUAAAUCAUGCAAAACUGCCUACUAUCACUGUAAGUUACCUAAGAUACAAAUCCUUUUAAUUUUUCUGCACUAUGACAUAGUAGACUCAAGAUAAUGCUAGCCAAGCCUAUGCCAGUCUAACAAUAGAAACUGAAGACUGGACUAGGAUAUCCUUCAGUGUAAAAGAUUCUUGAAAUAAGGAACAUUCCCUUUAAGGAUGAAUUAUUCCUUCCUCCAAGCAUCCAGUUAAGCAGCUGCACGCAAACCUUGAAUCAAUUUUUAUAACAAAGGCGAGGACGCAGAAAAAGGAAUUUGAAGUAAGUAGUCAAUAAGAGGUAAGAAGCAACCUUGAAGUGACAUGAAAAGCCAAAGGAUGUUAGAACUUCAAAAUAAAACCAGAUGUCCUCUUCAAUGUGUAACUGAAAAGGAUAUUUGAUCCUUUGUGCAUCCUUGAAGUGCCGUGGCUGAAAGUAAUGCUUUGCACUGUAAUGCUUCGUUAGUUCAAAGUGCUGUGCAAACAUUAGGUAAUGAAAUCUCACAGCGUCUGUGCAUUAUCUACAUAUUCUCUUGUCCAAGGACACACUCUGAGACAUAUAUGGUACUGGAACCCUUAUUUUCUAGCCCAUGAUCAUUUCUAUCACCUCACAGUGGUUUUUAGCCCACCUCAAGUAAGUAUCAAGAAUGCGUGAGCUGUCAGUAAAGCACGGGAGGCAGAAAUACAUGUUUUUAUUGAAAGUAUUAUACAAUAUUUAAAUGAUUUUUUGUAAUAAUAUGGGAAGGUUUGAUCCAUCAAAAAAAAAAAGCAUUAUUUUCUUUCUUCGCACCAACACAUGCAAAAUCAGAAAUGCAAGGUGAUAAAUCAGAUACAUUGCUUUUGUGAUGUUAUUGACGUGCAAAUAGUCUGCAUGACUCUACAGAGCAAUGUGCUUCACUCUAGUUCACAGAGAAAACUUCACACAGGUAAAGUCUAAAUAUAUCAGCCUAAGUUGAUUUGAUCACACUGAGUAUGAACUCAGGUGUGAAACUGGAUAGGCAAAUGCGAAAAUCAAAGCUCCAAACUCUGCAAGGAAGCAGCUCAGAAUUCAGCCCAGUUCUGCAAAGUUUCUAUGUAUAGUUCAAUGAACUUGGUUUUUCUAGCAAACUUAAAGCCAGGGAAGUGGGCCUGAAUUAUAAGUUUGCUUUGCAGAACUUAGGUAGCUCAGCGUUCUAGUGCAUGGCUAAUCCAGAGAAAGACUACAAAAAUUAUUUCUCUCUUUCUUAAUCCCUAUUAUAUGAAUAUUUCUGAUGUUCAAAUAUUACUAUAUUGAAAAGAACUGCUGUGUUUGCUGUAUUUGUCAUAUAAUGAUAUCUUUUGACUUAGGUGCACGUGACCUCAGGCUUUAUGAGGCAAAUAUACAGUAUUUGUGGGCUGUGAGCGUAUAGGUUAGUUCCUUGUGCUAAAGCAUUGCAGCAUCAGCUUUGUCCCAUCUCAUCUGAGCUUCUUUCAUGGAGAAGGUUUUCCAUAAUGAUAAUCCUCAUGAUUGCCUUGGUGAAUCACCAGGUAGUCACCAUUCUUGGGGCCAUUUGCUGGAGGCAAAAGGCCACUUUCUCACUCUAGAGAAAACCUCACACUGCCUUGUACCCUCACAGUGUCAUUCCAGGGCAGAAACAGAGUAAAUCCCAGCUCUGCGUGUAAGGCACAUACACACUCGCUUAAAAACAAUGAUUUAAUGUUAACAGAUAGUCUGCAAUUGAGUGAAGUACUCUGCAGCAUGCUAGAUUCAAAAAUCUGGCUUUUAAAAACUAGGAGAGAGUGAGUCUUGUGGGAUUUUCUGAGAGAAACAUCAUUAAAGGCUAAUAGGAAGUUAGACCUCAAGACCUCAAAAAGAAAAGAAAUUGGAAUUUCAGCAUUGAGAAUAGUCAAGAGAGAAGAAAGUAGAUUGAAAAAAAAUAGAAGAAAUAUAAAACAUUCAGCCUUUUCUCAGCACUCAUCUAAGCUACUGCAUACAAAGCAUGUGGAUGUAGGUCAGAAUUCCUCAACAUGUAGAAUUGCUAUUUUCUUCUUAGUACUUUUUUGUUACUUUAUUUCCCUUGCAUUUAAUCUGAUUUUUUUUUCCAAAUAGGACUCUUAGGAGAUAUCAUUGCAUAUUGUGGUGGAUUGAACAAAACUGCUCUCUCACUCUUUUCUGCAGCUGGACAUAGGAGAGAAAAUAUGCUGAACGACUUGUGGUUUGAGACAUGGACAAGGAGAGAUCACUUUCCAGUUACCAUCACAGGCAAAAUAGGUUUGACUCAGGGAAAUUAAUGUAAUUUAUUACCAAUCAAAUCAGAGUAAGCUUGUAAGAAUAAAAUAAAAUAAAAUAAAAUAAAAU